rnacentral:lncRNA from 1 species
GAUUUUUACCUCUCUAUCUGACUUUAGAUGUUUGAUAUAGUCUAAUAGAAUCAGUGGGAAUGUAAUGUCUUUCAUUCUCAUGUUUAAAUUUAAUCCAUGUUUUGUCUCUCUCAUAGAACGUCAUUUUCCCUUUCAAUCUUAAUUCAAGGAGAUUCCAUCUAUAUUCCAUCUCAUAUUUUUAUAUAUCAUGUUCAAAUUUGCAUUCACAUUUUUCAUUCACAUUGAAAAGCUUCCAUUCAUCCAUACACGUACUCAUUCAUAUUUUAAUUACUUCGUUCAUUU